AAAUUAAUCGAAGCUAAAUUAUGUUUUUGUUCUUUUACCGCCUCUUAGUGUUAGAUAAAUAUUAUUCCUUAAUUUUUUAAACUUGACACGUUUUUAUAUAUGCAUUUUCUUAACCCUUUCAUUCCAUACAUGAGAGUAUGCAUAUAUUAUAGUCAAAUUUGAACUGUUCCUAAGUUUUUUGCAAUAAAUUUAAGUAUUCUUAUUCUUAUAGAGCGUUACAUACGAAUACAAUUAUAUCAUUUAACUGCUAUUUAUUUUGCUAAUUGGUUUUUUAAUUUCUCUUUUUCUUUCAGUGUACCAAAUUUCAGAUCAAAGUAGAUGAAUGUGGGGGCGAGAAAAAGUCACUUAAGAUUUACUUCUGUAUUUCGAAUCGUAGGCUAUCUACAAAAUACGCAGUCACAAGGCUGUCUCUUAUAACCAAAAUCGUAAAUCGGGUGUGUUGAAACAGCAACAAAACCGUAAUGCAGGAAAAAUUAUUUAAAUAAAAAUAAAAGAAAUAAAAAGAAAUAUUUGCGCCGAACAUCAACAGAGAUCAAGAAAGGUAAGUAGGCUAUUGUUUACAUCCGGCACUAACUGCACGUUGAACAGUGUUUGCGAUUACAUAACAUAUAAUAGGGAGUCGUUAACGAUGUUUAAUGUAGGGUUAGUGUUAACCAGACAUUGUGUAACUGGCCAUAAGCCUCCUCAAUCUUAUGUAUGAUUUUAGUACUGGUUUGCUAAAAAUAUAGAUCAUUUGAGUAAUAAAUGAUAAUGAAGAGUACCACGCCUCCUUCAAUAACCUUCAAUGGCCUUAACUUCGGGUGUGAGAAUCAAUUGAUUACGAAACGCUUACAGUAAACUGAGACGCGGUUGUCUCAAACAAUACUUAUUUUUAUUAAUUAUCAGUCUUAAGCUCGGCAAGAUACUUCGAUUUUCAGACCGCUUGUAUUCUUUCAUAGAGUAACGGUCAAAAUUGAGUCACAUAAUUUACCACAAUUCCCUUCUCUGGAUCCAAGUAUAUUUGCAUCAAUGACCUGGAAGAAGGCAGUCACUGAAACAUAUGCCAAAGUAGUAAAGUAGAAGAAAGAGUCGACCAGAUCUUCAAUAACUGGGCAACAUCUAGAUAAAAACCCAACGACAAUAAGUGUCAUGGUUUGCUAAACUUGAGAUUGGAAUGAUCGGAAUUUCCCCUUCGUAACCUUUUGUGGAGACUGAUUAGGCAGGGUACCCUCGCGGUUAUGCAUUUAAUGAAGUAGCUUUUUGAGGGCUGAACUUGAACUGAUGCCUUAUGUCUGCUUAGCCUAUGUUACGAGGCAACUGAGACACUUAUGUAAUUUUAGGCUGCUAGAUUUUAACAGCAAACGACUCUGGAAGUUAGGAUUAUCGACUAAUCCGAUUCGCUCAGAUGCAAUAAACCCUCUUUGUAGGAGGAACUGUCUAAACGAGUAAGCUUGAUUUGAUGUCUUUGAAUUGCGAUAUUUUGUGGACUAACUUAGACUCAUUAACCUGCUGCAAAUUCAGUAAAUGCUAGUAGAAAUCCCAUACUUUUGCCUUGCAAGGCCUUUCUGGUAUGGAUUAGACCAGAUGGCUCAAAAAGCUCCUUAGCAUUAUUAAUAAUCCUUUUCCUACGCCAAUGACAAACGCAUCGCAUGAAUAUUGUCUUAACUUUUAUUCCUAAAACUUUUCCGCGAAAUAUAAACGCAGUUUCAACGUUGCCGCGUAAGGCAUAACAAUUACAUUGACAAUUUUAAUAAUUGGAAACGGGUUUGUAAGUUUUUGUAGCAUAGUUUUUGGCGUAGCCAUGCGUAAUUUACGUAGCAAUAGGAGUGUAAAAUCUGUAAUCCUUAUCCUUACUAAUAUUAUAAGUCCGAAAGUGAGUUUGUUUAUUUGUCACGAUUUCACGCUUCAACUAGUCAACCAAUCAUUAUGAAAUUUUGUACACUGGUGUCAUUUAGCCCAACUUAAAAUAAAGGAUCGAUUUGAUCUCGAUUGCACAAGGGGGCGUGGCACCUGCCAUACAAUCGGAAUUUUUCAUGCUACAUAUCGCAGGAAAUAUUUGUGAUAGAGGCAUGGAACUUGGUAUGGAGAUAUAUAGAAUCAAUUCCGCACUCAUGGGGGAGGGCUGCCACCUGUUUAAAAAAGAAAUUUCAACUUGAAUUAAGGAAAUUAUUUAUUUGAAAAUUAUAUUAAAAAAGGGAUGUCAAGAGGCCAAGAAAAGUUGGUAGUUUGAAAAUAUUUUGAAAAGGGUUGCCACCCGUUUAAAAAGUCAAAUUUAAAUUCUUUAUUCGCAAGCUAUCUGAAAAAUUAAAAUAUGGUUGUCAAACGAAAGAUUGCUAAGAAACCUUCAGAUUGAAUAUUUAGAAUAUUAUUGAGGUGUUUUACUAGGGUUACCACCCAAAUAAAAAUUAAAUUCAAUUAAUUUAAAUGAAUUACUGCAAUAUGGGUGUCAAUCGAAAUGUUUUUGAAAAGGGUUUAAGUUCUAAACUACAUGAAGAACGGUUGCCACCUUUUUGAAAAAUCAAAUUCUAAUUGAAGUUAGGGAUGUCAGACCAAAGGGGUUUAAUGAGAGAAUUUAAAUUAAUUAUACUCAAAUUAAAGUGUCAGACGUAAGAGUGUUUAGAAAUGUUCAGCUUGAACAUGUAGAAUCUUCUGAGGUAUUUAAAUAGGGUUACCACUUAUUUUAAAACUAUAUUCAAAUACAAUUAUAUUGUAAGUUAAAUUAGUUCUUAUAAUAUAGCUAUUAAUCGAAUGUCUUGGAAAGGCUUUAUUUCUAAGCUACAUAUGCAUAGCAGGGUUUCCACAGAUUUGAAUUCAGGGUAUAUAAUAUGUGAAAAAGUAUCACAAUAGAGAGGCUUAAGAAAGUUUCAGUUUCAAAAUAAUA